ACAGCGCCCUAUCGUAAGCUGUGACAGUGGUGACAGCGCCAUCAAAAUUCGGUAUAAAGAUGGCAGUGUGGAGAGUCCGAUACCGAGCCAACAGCAAAAAUUGCCUCGGACUGUAAGACGACGGCAGUGAAACUCGCUCGGAGGUCGAACGGUUGUUUUCGGUAAAUAAUCAUUGCACUCGUUGCUUGGUUGGCUGUGUCAGAGGCGUGUGCCCUUGCCAGCUGCACUGGGCUGCGCCACGGCUGCGCCUCGCACAAGGCUGGCUGCGGUAGUAGCAGUAGUAGUGACUGCGGAGGUGGCGGCGGUGUCAAGGUGAUGAUUUCGGAGCGACGUGCUGCAACGCGUGUUCGUAGUAUUGAGUAGUUAUGAGCUCCGAGGAACUGAACUCUUCUCUUUCUGACGACCUGGACGAACUGCGUUGUUCCCAAGUGGUGGGAACACUUUGCUUUUCUGACGCUGCAGAUGACACGGGGGAGUGUUUCGUCUCGUCGACGUCGAGAACCAUUCGCUCGUGGUCAAAGACUUCACAGCCAAACGACUUGAUGGCCUCAGCAGGUGAUCCUCCAUCCAGAGUAGGGCCUCAACAGGUGGUCUUUGAGAUUGUGUCUGCCAAAACAGUCGUUGAAGGACGUAAGAAGUUUGUGUGCUACACAGUGCUUGUGAAAAAGAGCCCUGGACUGGAGCGACUUCCAGGGGUCCUGGAGCGUCGCUACUCUGAUUUCUCGGCCCUGUUUGCGGGUCUGCGUCGCCGCCACCCAUCAUGCGUGGCUCUGCGCGACUUCCCUUUCCCCCGCAAAGCCCUGCUGGGAAACUUUACCACUGAGGUGAUAACAGAACGUAGUUUGGCCUUUCGCCACCUGCUGUCUCGUGUUCAUGCAUCGCCGGAGCUACGUCGAUCACCAGAGUUUGCAGAAUUCACAUGGCGUCGGGAGGUUUGCCGGGCUCACCGCCUGAUGACUGCUGGCCAGUUUGAAGAUGCCUCUGUCUUGCUUGAAAAUGCUUACUCCGUACAAGAGAAAGUUCUUGGAGAUGGCGACCCGGACACAUUCACCACCCUGGCGGUGCUCACAGCUUGCCUGAAUGCAGUAGACAAUGUGGCUGAGGCACAGAAAUAUGCUGAGCUCGCCCUGUCUAAGCGGCUGCCUGGCAUCUCUGCAUCAAAUCCCAGCGACCUAGAGGUGCCAUUACUUGUGCUGGCAAUUCGGCUCUGGUGGGCGGUGGGAAAGGAGAAGCGUGAGCUGGAGGAGCGACUGCGCCAGGUGAAGGACACGGGAGUCAAUGUGGAUGCUCUGCCGACACUGCUUGAGCUGGUACUCAAGAAGGAUAGUGCUACCUUGUAUUCAUCCUAACAUGAUAGACUACCAGCACUUGCUCCUCGUGGGCUGUGUUUCCCCCACAGUGCGCGGCUGCAAGCCUUUGGGAUAUUGCAGCUCUUCUUUUUCGUCUGUGGAUGAGUAUAAAAGCCUGUUCACAUUAAGGAAAUAAUGAGACGUUUUUAGGCUGCAGGAGUCUUUGUAGGUGGUGCCCUUGCACCUACCAGAAUACAUCCAAGUUUUGAAUAUGGAAUGGACCACAGAACUUUUUGUGAAAAGCUGUAAUCAAAAGCUCCUGUGCACGAAUGGCUUUUCAAGCAACAAGCACUAAAAGUUGUAUAGUUCGUUCUUAACAGUGCAUGCAUUGAGCAUCAAUUGUCAGUGGCACAUGUGCAGUGUAUUUACUUGUUGAUGUGGCACUGUUCAGCCAACAUUUAGAAGAAAAAAUGAAUUAAAGGAACUUUAGAGAUGACUGCAUGCACUGUUGCUGCAAUACCAUUGAAAAGUAGGAGAAACGGGCAAGUAAUGGAAAGCACUUUAAAAUGUGUAUGCACAGAUAAGUGUUAGCUUAUAAUGUGUCUAUGGCAAAGGUGGGAGAUGUCACGAGUUGCAUUGUUGUACCCAUAUUCUUUCACAGAUGAUUAAUAAAGCUCUUUAGACAACAGAAACAAUUUUAUUUGUACUAAAGUUUUCUUGUUAUAAGUGGCUUCCCCAUAUCUAAGCUAGACAUUUGAAAAAAAAUUUUGCUGUUCUGAACUGCACUUUGUGCAACAGCUCAAAGGCAAGGAGGUUUAGCAUGAGGUGUCACAACUUUUUAUUACCAAAGUGCACUUUUAUUUUGAUCUCUUGUUCUGUGAAAGUUUUUUUCUUUGCAUUUCAGUGUACUACAUUUGUGUUCAUUUCCUUCGGAGGCCUGUCUGCUUGCUUGAUGGGGGUUAAGCACAAAUGAGCUUCAUUCUAUAUAUCUGUUGUGUGAUAGAGUAAAAAUUAGUGUUUAAACCACAUAAGAAGGGAACCCCUUAAAGUUUUAUUCCUAGCUCAAGUGCAUUUGAGCAUGUCAGGCUGAAAGCUGGCUACUGUGGCUGUGAUCUAUGACUUAAGUAUGACAAAAUUGUGUGGAAGCAGCUAUAAGAAGACCUGACUUUGAACAUAACAUUCUUUACGUUAAGUUUUUAUUUCUUAUGAUUUGUCACUCUAUGUGGCUGAUCAGCAACAACAGUGGUGUGGCAGGGUGUGAGCUAGUGAUGGAGGGCCAAAAGAAUGAAAAACAAGCUUUGUUACAAAAUAUGACUCAAAGUAUACAGAUGCUGAGAACUAGUAGGUUUGAUAUAGUCAUUGUUGAGCCUAAAGAGCACACACUGAUCAACUUUAAUGUUCCCUAUCUAGAGCUUAGGCAGUUGCCCAUUUACAGUAUCGACAGACUUUGUUUUGGGAAAUUCAUUGUGGCAUUUUCCUGUUUCAGAUAAUAAAUGUGCAAUAACUUUAUGCUUACACACUGAG
rnacentral:misc_RNA from 1 species